UGAGGAAUAUUGGUCAAUGGGCGAGAGCCUGAACCAGCCACGUCGCGUGAAGGAAGACUGACCUUACGGUUUGUAAACUUCUUUUGUAGAGGGGUAAUGGCAGAUACGUGUAUUUGCGUGAAAGUACUCUACGAAUAAGCAUCGGCUAACUCCGUGCCAGCAGCCGCGGUAAUACGGGGGAUGCGAGCGUUAUCCGGAAUUAUUAGGUUUAAAGGGUGCGCAGGUGGCUAAUCAGGUCAGUGGUGAAAAGCUAUGGCUCAACCAUGGUCUUGCCAUUGAAACCGUAUAGCUAGAGAGGAGACGAGGUAGGCGGAAUGUGUGGUGUAGCGGUGAAAUGCAUAGAUAUCACACAGAACUCCGAUUGCGAAGGCAGCUUACCAGGCUUUAUCUGACACUUAGGCACGACAGCGUGGGGAUCAAACAGG
rnacentral:rRNA from 1 species